CCUACGGGAGGCUGCAGUGAGGAAUAUUGGUCAAUGGACGAGAGUCUGAACCAGCCAAGUAGCGUGAAGGAUGACUGCCCUAUGGGUUGUAAACUUCUUUUAUAUGGGAGUAAAAUGUUCCACGUGUGGGAUUUUGUAUGUACCAUAUGAAUAAGGAUCGGCUAACUCCGUGCCAGCAGCCGCGGUAAUACGGAGGAUCCGAGCGUUAUCCGGAUUUAUUGGGUUUAAAGGGAGCGUAGGUGGAUUGUUAAGUCAGUUGUGAAAGUUUGCGGCUCAACCGUAAAAUUGCAGUUGAAACUGGCAGGCUUGAGUACAGGAGAGGUGGGCGGAAUUCGUGGUGUAGCGGUGAAAUGCUUAGAUAUCACGAAGAACUCCGAUUGCGAAGGCAGCUCACUGGACUGCAACUGACACUGAGGCUCGAAAGUGUGGGUAUCAAACAGGAUUAGAUACCCGGGUAGUC
rnacentral:rRNA from 1 species